CAGAGAUGAGAAUGUGCCUUCGGGAACCGUGAGACAGGUGCUGCAUGGCUGUCGUCAGCUCGUGUUGUGAAAUGUUGGGUUAAGUCCCGCAACGAGCGCAACCCUUAUCCUUGUUGCCAGCGGUCCGGCCGGGAAACUCAAAGGAGACUGCCAGUGAUAAACUGGAGGAAGGUGGGGAUGACGUCAAGUCAUCAUGGCCCUUACGACCAGGGCUACACACGUGCUACAAUGGCGCAUACAAAGAGAAGCGACCUCGCGAGAGCAAGCGGACCUCAUAAAGUGCGUCGUAGUCCGGAUUGGAGUCUGCAACUCGACUCCAUGAAGUCGGAAUCGCUAGUAAUCGUGGAUCAGAAUGCCACGGUGAAUACGUUCCCGGGCCUU
rnacentral:rRNA from 1 species